rnacentral:rRNA from 1 species
CAGUCGACGCUUCUUUCUCCCGAGUGCUUGCACUCAAUUGGAAAGAGGAGUGGCGGACGGGUGAGUAACACGUGGGUAACCUACCCAUCAGAGGGGGAUAACACUUGGAAACAGGUGCUAAUACCGCAUAACAGUUUAUGCCGCAUGGCAUAAGAGUGAAAGGCGCUUUCGGGUGUCGCUGAUGGAUGGACCCGCGGUGCAUUAGCUAGUUGGUGAGGUAACGGCUCACCAAGGCCACGAUGCAUAGCCGACCUGAGAGGGUGAUCGGCCACACUGGGACUGAGACACGGCCCAGACUCCUACGGGAGGCAGCAGUAGGGAAUCUUCGGCAAUGGACGAAAGUCUGACCGAGCAACGCCGCGUGAGUGAAGAAGGUUUUCGGAUCGUAAAACUCUGUUGUUAGAGAAGAACAAGGACGUUAGUAACUGAACGUCCCCUGACGGUAUCUAACCAGAAAGCCACGGCUAACUACGUGCCAGCAGCCGCGGUAAUACGUAGGUGGCAAGCGUUGUCCGGAUUUAUUGGGCGUAAAGCGAGCGCAGGCGGUUUCUUAAGUCUGAUGUGAAAGCCCCCGGCUCAACCGGGGAGGGUCAUUGGAAACUGGGAGACUUGAGUGCAGAAGAGGAGAGUGGAAUUCCAUGUGUAGCGGUGAAAUGCGUAGAUAUAUGGAGGAACACCAGUGGCGAAGGCGGCUCUCUGGUCUGUAACUGACGCUGAGGCUCGAAAGCGU